rnacentral:lncRNA from 1 species
GAGCUGGUCCUCAAGCCAUUCCUCAGUACUAGAUGAAAGCAUCAAGGGGGAUGGUGCCGAACACGAAGUCGAAUUGACCUUCAUGCCCGACACUGUCGAAUCUAUGCUGGGCUUGAAGGACUUGGAUUUAAUCCAGGCCCGAUAUGGGAUUCUGGCUUCGUUCAAACAAAAACUCUCGGGCACCAGUGGCAGGAUUGGUAACCUCCUGCAGGGUGGAUUGGCCUUUAUGAGUGUUGGUGUAGAAUUCCACCGACGUCGGAGAAGC